rnacentral:rRNA from 1 species
GAUAGCUAGAUGGCGGGGUAAAGGCCAACCCAGGCGACGAUCUAUAGCUGGUCUGAGAGGAUGAUCAGCCACACCGGGACUGAGACACGGCCCGGACUCCUACGGGAGGCAGCAGUGGGGAAUAUUGGACAAUGGGGGAAACCCUGAUCCAGCCAUGCCGCGUGUGUGAAGAAGGCCUUUUGGUUGUAAAGCACUUUAAGCAGUGAAGAAGACUCUUCGGUUAAUACCCGGAGACGAUGACAUUAGCUGCAGAAUAAGCACCGGCUAACUCUGUGCCAGCAGCCGCGGUAAUACAGAGGGUGCAAGCGUUAAUCGGAAUUACUGGGCGUAAAGCGAGCGUAGGUGGCUUGAUAAGUCAGAUGUGAAAUCCCCGGGCUUAACCUGGGAACUGCAUCUGAUACUGUCAGGCUAGAGUAGGUGAGAGGAAGGUAGAAUUCCAGGUGUAGCGGUGAAAUGCGUAGAGAUCUGGAGGAAUACCGAUGGCGAAGGCAGCCUUCUGGCAUCAUACUGACACUGAGGCUCGAAAGCGUGGGUAGCAAACAGGAUUAGAUACCCUGGUAGUCCACGCCGU